rnacentral:lncRNA from 1 species
GGACUAACCUCUUGUGGGAGUUAUUCAUCCUUAAGAGGGUAGAUAGUGAUAGAACAAGAGGGAGUGGUUUUAAACUGAGACAGGGGAGGUUUAGGUCGGAUAUUAGGAGGAAGUUUUUCACCCAGAGGGUGGUGAAGCACUGGAACAGGUUGCCCAAGGAGGCUGUGGAUGCCCCAUCCCUGGAGGCAUUCAAGGCCAGGCUGGAUGUGGCUCUGGGCAGCCUGGGCUGCUGUUUGGCGACCCUGCACAUAGCAGGGGGUUGGAAGUGGAUGAGCAUUGUGGUCCUUUUCAACCCAGGCCAUUCUAGGAUUCUAUGAAACAGACACACACACCAGAAACAUCCUGGAAGGGACAAACAAGAGGCCAUGCAAUGUGGCCAUCACAGCUCAAGGCAGGAUCACCUCUCUCUAAACCAGCCCUCAUGGUAUCUCUGUUAGAUAGAGGAUGGGGUUAAUGGUCCCCGUGGGAAGGACUGGGAAAAGACAGUAGAGAAGAAAACACGCUUUGAAAAUAAUAACAUGAGCCAAGGCUUGUUGAGAGAACAUAGGGAGGUGAAAAGAUCCCUGUCUGGGAGCAUCUGUUUUCUCUGCCUGGCCAGGGUGUUGUGCUGUGACAGCAACAGCUUGCAUAGGGAUUGCAACGGACAUGCAUAGGUACUGCUGUGUGCUGUGACACCCUGCCCUGAUUUUGGGCAGUUCUUGUUCCUGCUGCCUCAGAAAGGCUUCCUGAGAAGGAGAAAUGUUAGAUUAGAAGUUAGCCUUGAGGUUAACACUGGGAAAUAAUUUGUGGAGGGAAAGAAAGUACAUAUUUGGUCAGGUCUACAUGCCAGAUCUUGAACCAGCAGGGCUGUUUUGGCAAGAACUGUGGUUUUGUUUGACUGAAAAAGAUAUGAGUUCAAGGCUGAUUGCAUCUUUACGGCCUAAAAUUGCUUUACAGCUGUAAUUUAUUCUCCCUUUUGUACAGGAAUAGCUCUGGCAAGAGUUGGUUUUGCUGUAACUAACACCCGGAGGGUUAGCUGAGUACAAUUAUUCAUUGCCCGGCAAAACAAACUCAGGAUCAUGAAAACCUGUGAAGCAACAGGUUCAGCACCAAGCAAAGGGAAGCACUCCGUGUGCUGAAUGCAUGGACUGCCUUGGGAGGGUCUUGUGGGUGUUGAUGUGGGUUUGGCAUUUGGGCAAGUUUGCAGACUCUGAAGUACACAUUACCCCACCUCUUGCUUGGACAUCAUGGGAGCCACCAGCUUCUGGACUGCAAGAAAUUCAUGGUAGAGUUUUCCUGUACUCUUGAC